rnacentral:rRNA from 1 species
UGGGGAAUUUUGGACAAUGGGCGAAAGCCUGAUCCAGCAAUGCCGCGUGUGUGAAGAAGGCCUUCGGGUUGUAAAGCACUUUUGUCCGGAAAGAAAUCCUUGGCUCUAAUACAGUCGGGGGAUGACGGUACCGGAAGAAUAAGCACCGGCUAACUACGUGCCAGCAGCCGCGGUAAUACGUAGGGUGCAAGCGUUAAUCGGAAUUACUGGGCGUAAAGCGUGCGCAGGCGGUUUGCUAAGACCGAUGUGAAAUCCCGGGCUCAACCUGGGAACUGCAUUGGUGACUGGCAGGCUAGAGUAUGGCAGAGGGGGGUAGAAUUCCACGUGUAGCAGUGAAAUGCGUAGAGAUGUGGAGGAAUACCGAUGGCGAAGGCAGCCCCCUGGGGCCAAAUACUGACGCUCAUGCACGAAAGCGU